AUUGAACGCUGGCGGCAUGCUUUACACAUGCAAGUCGAACGGUAACAGGCCGCAAGGUGCUGACGAGUGGCGAACGGGUGAGUAAUGCAUCGGAACGUGCCCAGUCGUGGGGGAUAACGCAGCGAAAGCUGUGCUAAUACCGCAUACGAUCUAUGGAUGAAAGCGGGGGACCGUAAGGCCUCGCGCGAUUGGAGCGGCCGAUGCCAGAUUAGGUAGUUGGUGGGGUAAAGGCAUACCAAGCCGACGAUCUGUAGCUGGUCUGAGAGGACGACCAGCCACACUGGGACUGAGACACGGCCCAGACUCCUACGGGAGGCAGCAGUGGGGAAUUUUGGACAAUGGGGGAAAGCCUGAUCCAGCAAUGCCGCGUGCAGGAAGAAGGCCUUCGGGUUGUAAACUGCUUUUGUACGGAACGAAACGGUCUGGGUUAAUACCCUGGGCUAAUGACGGUACCGUAAGAAUAAGCACCGGCUAACUACGUGCCAGCAGCCGCCGUAACAC
rnacentral:rRNA from 1 species